rnacentral:tRNA from 1 species
AUUUAAGUAGCUUAAUAUAAAGUUUAAUAUUGAAGAUAUUAGGAUAAGGCUUACUUCUUAAAUA